rnacentral:rRNA from 1 species
CCUACGGGUGGCUGCAGUGGGGAAUUUUGGACAAUGGGCGAAAGCCUGAUCCAGCAAUGCCGCGUGAGUGAAGAAGGCCUUCGGGUUGUAAAGCUCUUUUGUUUGGGAAGAAAUCCCUAAGGAUAAUACCCUUGGGGGAUGACGGUACCAAAAGAAUAAGCACCGGCUAACUACGUGCCAGCAGCCGCGGUAUUACGUAGGGUGCAAGCGUUAAUCGGAAUUACUGGGGGCGAAGCUGUCGGACGGGGGUGAAAUCCCCGAGCUCAACUUGGGAACUGCACGUGUGACUGCAAGACUAGAGUGUGUCAGAGGGAGGUAGAAUUCCACGUGUAGCAGUGAAAUGCGUAGAUAUGUGGAGGAAUACCAGUGGCGAAGGCGGCCUCCUGGGAUAACACUGACGCUCAUGUACGAAAGCGUGGGGAGCAAACAGGAUUAGAUACCCCUGUAGUC